rnacentral:tRNA from 2 species
GCCGAGGUAGCUCAGUGGUAGAGCAGCCGAUUCGUAAUCGGCAGGUCGUGGGUUCAACUCCCACUCUCGGCUCCA